ACUCUUGAUCUCAGCUCAGGUCUCGAUCUCAGGGUCGUGAGUUCAAGGCCCUGCCUUGGGCUCCGUGCUGGGCCCGAAGCCUAAAUUUUACAAAAGCCAAAACAACAACCACAAAAAAGACCUUUUCAUUAUACCACAUUGUCUUUGCAGUAAACAUUUGUCAUCACCGACAUAAUUACAUAUUCUACCAAGAAAAGGUACUUAAUGUUAUUCCCCGACACCAGUGCGCGAGGAAAGUUACUUACGGUGUCUGCCUUCACGUUGCUUUCAUGAAUUGCCAGCUAAGCAAUCGGCAAGACAGUACUCUGUUACUUGUGUAUGCCCCAGUGCCUACCAAGAUAUGUCAGGUGUUCAGUCACAUGACCUUUUUGAACGAAGGAAACCUGAGUUCCUUGAACCAAGGAAGGUAUGGAAGAUAGAAUAACGGUUCCCCCAAAGAUGCCCACAUCCCAGUCCCUGGAACCCGUGCAUAUGUUUGUUAUGUGGCGAGAGGGAAUUAAGUUUGCUAAUCAGCUAACCUCGAAACAGAGAGAUUAUCCUGGAUUAUCCGGGAGGCCCGCCGUAAUUACAAGAGUUUGGAAAAGAUGGCAGGGGGACACAGUAGGGUCAACGUCUGCAUGCUGCUCUGUGACAAAGGCUUGGCCAGCUGUCGCAGCUUUGAAGAUGGAAGAGCAUCUUCCUCUCUGAACUGGAGCCCCCGGAAGGAACACAACCCUCCGCACGCUUGGCUUUUGGACUUCUAACCCACAGAACUCUGGGGUGACAAAUGUGUUGUUUUAUGCCACUAAAUUUGUGGAGAUUUGUCACAGCAGCAGUAGGAAGCUCCUACGGAAAGGGGAGGGAGCCAAAUCGUGAUUAAGCUCCAGAAGACCUCCUUGGAUUGUGGAUUUACCCUUUAAUGCAAAUGAGGGUGUGGCUCACCUGAAACUGUGCCCUAAGCAAAGUGACAGGCACUGGACAAAGCUGCCUACAUUUCCAGUAUCUCCCUGCUUCUCUGUUUCUGGGGACAGUCCUCGAGCUUAGGUGGGCAGCUGGGUUCUAGGCUGGUGCUGCACAGCAGCUGUCUUAGCUAAGCUCUUCAGAUUCGCCUACUGGAACAGAAGAAUGGAACAACAAAGCCUGGAGGACAGCACAUCUGUUUACAACGUGGGUGACUGAAUGUCUUAAGUCUGCCGUUGAGACCUACUCAGAGAAAAGAUCCCUUUCCACAUGCUGUCACUCAUUAAAGAUGAAUCUUGGUA